AGCGGCGCGUCACGCUGGCCCGGGCUCCAAAUCCCCCAGGCCUUGCAGGGGAGACAUGAAAAGGCUUUAUGCUUCCUCGGCAACAUUUCAUCAAGGGUGUAUGUUAAUGCAGGAGAAACCGAUUUUUCUUUGCAAAAGCCCGUGGAAAUCGAAAAGAAACCAUAGUCACCUCCUCCAAAAGGGGCGUGGUCAUCGCUGGUCACCCCGUCGCCCCGCCUCUGCAAACCCCGGCGUCGGGAACUUGCUCCGGAAACGCCUUCCACUUCCUUUUGCGCGUGGAGAAGCUGCAGGUUGCGACCGCGGAGCUCCCCAGCGCUGUCCAGCUUGAGGGGGUCCUCCUGGGCAAGAUGGUUUCCAGCUCAGUGAAAUGCUUUUAUCCACUCCAGCACUCUGGGGUUUUGCUGUUGUUGUUGUUGUUGUUCUUUUAACUUAUCGUCGAGGGAAAUUGGAAGGGGAAUCAGAAAGGAAACUGUAGUCACCUUCGCCAAAGGGGGCGGUCAUCACUUUUCACCCCAUCGCCCCACUCUCUGGAAAGCCGGGUGCACUAAACGCGAUCGGGGAAUGCUGGUCGUCGAAUCUGCAGGUGCACAGCUCUGAGCAUCCCAGCGGUUUCCAGCUUAAAGUCCUCCUCCUUGUCAGAACCACGGGAGGUCGAGAGAAUUCACCAGAGCCAGAUCGGGGAGCAGAGCAGGCAGAAGGACCGAAGUACACUGCUGAGGGGAGCAGCAGGCGGCAGGAGAGGUCUGCGCGCCAUGUGGGACCCUCCUCCGGUGGCCGGGGAGCAGCCAGGGAUCGAACCGGGCGCCGCAGAGGCUGCGGGCAGCUUCGCAACCCAGCGUUCAACCGCUGCACCACCAGGGAGGCCCGAUGGCUUAUGUUUUAAAAUAAACUAGCUUCA